rnacentral:rRNA from 1 species
UACGUAGGGUGCGAGCGUUAAUCGGAAUUACUGGGCGUAAAGCGUGCGUAGGCGGUUCUCCAAGUCCGUUGUGAAAGCCCCGGGCUCAACCUGGGAACUGCAUUUGAAACUGGCGGGCUUGAGUAUGGCAGAGGGGGGUGGAAUUCCGCGUGUAGCAGUGAAAUGCGUAGAGAUGCGGAGGAACACCGAUGGCGAAGGCAGCCCCCUGGGCCAAUACUGACGCUCAGGCACGAAAGCGUGGGGAGCAAACAGGG